rnacentral:tRNA from 1 species
GGGUGCGUAGCUCAAUCUGGCAGAGCACCGGACUCUUAAUCCGUAGGUUGUAGGUUCGAUUCCUACCGCACCCACCA